rnacentral:rRNA from 1 species
UACAGAGGUCUCAAGCGUUGUUCGGAUUCAUUGGGCGUAAAGGGUGCGUAGGCGGCGCGGUAAGUCGGGUGUGAAAUCUCGGGGCUUAACUCCGAAACUGCAUUCGAUACUGCCGUGCUUGAGGACUGGAGAGGAGACUGGAAUUUACGGUGUAGCGGUGAAAUGCGUAGAGAUCGGGAGGAACACCCGUGGCGAAGGCGGCUCACUGGGCUGACCUUGACGCUGAGGCGCGAAGGCGUGGGGAGCGAACGGG